rnacentral:rRNA from 1 species
UACGUAGGUGGCAAGCGUUGUCCGGAAUUAUUGGGCGUAAAGCGCGCGCAGGCGGUCCUUUAAGUCUGAUGUGAAAGCCCACGGCUCAACCGUGGAGGGUCAUUGGAAACUGGGGGACUUGAGUGCAGGAGAGAAGAGUGGAAUUCCACGUGUAGCGGUGAAAUGCGUAGAGAUGUGGAGGAACACCAGUGGCGAAGGCGGUUCUCUGGGACGGUACUGACGCUGAGACGCGAAAGCGUGGGGAGCGAACAGG